CUUUUAAAAUUGACAAGUCAUUAAAAAAAAACACAUCACCAAAUCACUCUUUUCUCGAACCUUUUCAACAUUACGCCGAUUUUCCAAUAUCUCUUUGGUCUUCUCCCGAUUCAUCUACCUCUGCAAAAACAAUUUUACUCAAUUUUUUUCAGCUUUCCUCCUUCUCUCCUUACUCACUAUAUAAGACGGUGGUUGAUUUACGAAAGAUUCCUCUCACUAAAACCACCAGAUCUCUUCAUGGCCUCCGGGGAAAACGAGUAGUUAGUAACGGCGUUCGGUUUUGGUUCCAUCACUUUACCUCUGUAUACAGUUUACUGUAAAAAUAAAUUAUUCCUUCAUAUUUGGUGAGUCACUGAACGCCUUGCUCCUGGUACAUAAAAAACAUUACUUAACUUUUGUACACUUUUCUUUGAAAAGUGUUCUUCGGAGUUGUCUGUGAUUUCUUUUUUUUUUUUGAUAUUUUUAUCAUAUUGUGAGAGAGAUGGAGGACUUCGAGUUCCAUCACUGGUGGAGCCUACGGUUAAAGUUGUUGGAGAUUUAAAAGGAGGAGAUGACGCUUUACAGGAGAGGAUUUGUCAUCUGUUUUUUCAGGGACCAACGGAAAAUGGGCAAAUUGAUGUUCACUUUCAGGAUCUGUAUAGCGCAAGAACAACGUUCGAGCAGGCCCGACUUCAUUUGGUCAUCACUUUUUCUUAUGCUAUGAGAAUUUCCAAGAUAUUUCCUUUGCUUCAAGCUGCGAGUCAACACCAUCACAUGUAGAAACUAAAUGAGGAUCAUGGUGUGUAUUGCCUCUCUCUCUCUCUCAAAUACUUGAAACAGAAAUCUUUAGCUCAUUCAAGUCGAAGGCUUUAUCUAGAGUUCCCUAAAUGAGCUUUUGCUACAAUAUAUGUACAUGUUUUGUUUUCUUACAGGUUAUAUCGUUUUUGUUAACGGCUUAUGCUCAAACAUCCAUGCGGCAGAUUUUCCUCUUCCAUGUUAUUCUCAUAAGAAAGAUGAAAUCUUCGAUUUCUAUUCGUCUGAAAGCCCAAAACAAACGUUGAUCUCGAAGUUUAUGUGCAGCAGAUGAGAAUCAGCAGGGACUAUCCAUAAAGAUAUAAGGAGAUGGGCAUUCAACUUCUUCCACGCUGAUCAACAAGAAACCAGGUUUCUAUGGAAGCAUAAACCCACGGAAACUGAUCACUUUAAGCUGAUAUGGAUGAAUGCAGACCUCUGUGUAAGAGGACAUAGCGUUUGAUGCGUUGUGUUAUCAGAUCUGGUUGAAGAUUUAGAGGAUGGGGAUCGUACUUCUCAGCCAAAGGACAAAGUUGUGACAUGGAACCUGCCAUUUCGAAGUGAUACCUCAUAUUUGGUCCUGUCUACAACAUAAGAGAAGUACGGAGUUAGGUACUCGAGGCUGAGAUACUUACAUGAUGCAAAAGAGGUUAUCAUAAGCCAUGGGGCGGAUCUCAUCUCAGGUAUUAUUCCCUGAUCUCCACUCAACGAAACCUGACGCGUAACAGAAGGAAUCAGAGGACAACAAGGCCAGUGGUGGAUCUGAUGAGAGAUUUUUCGUAUAGCCAUAUACAUAGCGGGUGGGAUAUGAACCAGUAGCUGUAAUGUUUUGCAUUAUCCUUGCAUUAUCAGUAAAUGACAAUUAGAAGUUACAGCUACUUGCCUUUUUCUUCUACGGUUAAGUUUAUCGUUGUUUUAACGUAAAAGAUAAAUCGGAAGAGUAGACGUGUUGAUAAUUCUGUAGUAGAGUCUUAGGUGUAUCUCUUUAGUUUGAGGGUUAGUUUCAGUAGAAUCUAUGUGCCAUCUUUUGGUUGUAUCUGGUGAAGCUGAAGUUCUUGGUGGGAAUAUGAAAAAGCAGAUAAUGGAUGAGUCUGAGAAUUUGAGUUUGAACUGACUGGUGCCGCCUCAUCCUCCACCGCUUCCACCAUCUCCAGGAUAUGAAUCAAGAGAGGUUGAGGGAGACAGCAUAACCUAAAAACAGAUCAACAAGUUCCCUCAUCCUCUUUGCUGCUAUUGAGGCUGCAGCUCAGAGGCCUAAUCUCCUUCUUGGUUUUGACAAUUCUUGUGAAGGUUUUAUAUCACUGAAGAGGAAAAUCAAAAUUUUCUCGAGUUUUUAUAAUCUUCUGCUAUAGAUUGGGUAGAGCCUCUUUAGAUCAAAAUAAUUAUGAAGGUCGAUAUCAAUAUCUAUUGGUGUCUAUUGGAGAUUCAAAUUUUUAUGUACGGUUACAAUAAUAUGAGUUCAACUUUCAAGUCUAGGAAACUUUGUUUUCGCAAAAAAACUAACAAUUAACUGAUUAGUCGAAGCUAAUAUACUCUUUGAAAGUCUAUGAGAACAUU